AUAGUUUCUUCGGAAACUAGAGAGCGGCGUACGGGUGCGUAACACGUGUGCAACUUACCUUUAUCUGGGGAAUAGCCUUUCGAAAGGGAGAUUAAUACCCCAUAAUAUAUUAGAUGGCAUCAUUUGAUAUUGAAAACUCCGGUGGAUAGAGAUGGGCACGCGCAAGAUUAGAUAGUUGGUGAGGUAACGGCUCACCAAGUCAAUGAUCUUUAGGGGUCCUGAGAGGGAGAUCCCCCACACUGGUACUGAGACACGGACCAGACUCCUACGGGAGGCAGCAGUGAGGAAUAUUGGACAAUGGGUGAAAGCCUGAUCCAGCCAUCCCGCGUGAAGGAUGACGGUCCUAUGGAUUGUAAACUUCUUUUGUAUAGGGAUAAACCUAGAUACGUGUAUCUAGCUGAAGGUACUAUACGAAUAAGCACCGGCUAACUCCGUGCCAGCAGCCGCGGUAAUACGGAGGGUGCAAGCGUUAUCCGGAUUUAUUGGGUUUAAAGGGUCCGUAGGCGGACCGAUAAGUCAGUGGUGAAAUCUCAUAGCUUAACUAUGAAACUGCCAUUGAUACUGUCGGUCUUGAGUAAAUUAGAGGUAGCUGGAAUAAGUAGUGUAGCGGU
rnacentral:rRNA from 1 species